rnacentral:rRNA from 1 species
AUGCUUAACACAUGCAAGUCGAACGGUAACAGGUGUAGCAAUACAUGCUGACGAGAGGCGGACAGGUGAGGAACGCUUGGGAAUCUGCCCAUCAGCGGGGGACAACCCGGGGAAACCCGGGCUAAUACCGCAUACGCUCUAUGGAGGAAAGCCGGGGACCGCAAGGCCUGGCACUGAUGGAUGAGCCCAAGUCGGAUUAGCUAGUUGGCGGGGUAACGGCCCACCAAGGCGACGAUCCGUAGCUGGUCUGAGAGGACGAUCAGCCACACUGGAACUGAGACACGGUCCAGACUCCUACGGGAGGCAGCAGUGGGGAAUAUUGGACAAUGGGGGAAACCCUGAUCCAGCGACGCCGCGUGGGUGAAGAAGGCCUGCGGGUUGUAGAGCCCUUUCGGUAGGGACGAAAGCUCUCGACCUAACACGUCGGGAGGUUGACUUAACCUACAAAAGAAGCACCGGCUAACUCUGUGCCAGCAGCCGCGGUAAUACAGAGGGUGCGAGCGUUAAUCGGAAUUACUGGGCGUAAAGCGCACGUAGGCGGCUUGGCAUGUCGGGUGUGAAAUCCCCGGGCUCAACCUGGGAACUGCAUCCGAAACUGCCUUGCUAGAGUAUGGGAGAGGGAAGUGGAAUUUCCGGUGUAGCGGUGAAAUGCGUAGAUAUCGGAAGGAACACCAGUGG